rnacentral:rRNA from 1 species
CGGAGGAAAAGAAACUAACAAGGAUUCCCCUAGUAGCGGCGAGUGAAGCGGGAAGAGCUCAAAUUUGAAAUCUGGCGUCCUUCGGGCGUCCGAGUUGUAAUCUAUAGAAGCGUUUUCCGCGCUGGACCGUGUCUAAGUCCCUUGGAACAGGGUAUCAAAGAGGGUGAUAAUCCCGUACUUGACACGACCACCAGUGCUCUGUGAUACGUUCUCUACGAGUCGAGUUGUUUGGGAAUGCAGCUCAAAAUGGGUGGUAAAUUCCAUCUAAAGCUAAAUAUUGGCGAGAGACCGAUAGCGAACAAGUACCGUGAGGGAAAGAUGAAAAGCACUUUGGAAAGAGAGUUAAACAGUACGUGAAAUUGUUGAAAGGGAAACGAUUGAAGUCAGUCGUGUUCAUUGGACUCAGCCAGUUCUUCUGGUCUAUUUCCUUUGAACGGGUCAACAUCAGUUUUGUCCGGUGGAUAAAGGUAUUAGGAAUGUGGCUCUUUCGGGAGUGUUAUAGCCUAGUAUUGCAUACACUGGGGGAGACUGAGGACUGCAGCUCGCCUUUUGGCCGGGGUUCGCCCACGUUCGAGCUUAGGAUGUUGACAUAAUGGCUUUAAACGACCCGUCUUG